rnacentral:rRNA from 1 species
UACGUAGGGUGCGAGCGUUAAUCGGAAUUACUGGGCGUAAAGCGUGCGCAGGCGGUCUGUUAAGACCGAUGUGAAAUCCCCGGGCUUAACCUGGGAACUGCAUUGGUGACUGGCAGGCUUUGAGUGUGGCAGAGGGGGGUAGAAUUCCACGUGUAGCAGUGAAAUGCGUAGAGAUGUGGAGGAACACCGAUGGCGAAGGCAGCCCCCUGGGUCAAGAUUGACGCUCAUGCACGAAAGCGUGGGGAGCAAACAGG